CAGGACUAACGCUGGCGGCGUGCCUAACACAUGCAAGUCGAACGAAUCAUCUUUGUAGCAAUAUAGAAGAUGGUGAGUGGCGCACGGGUGAGUAAUACAUAGAUGAUCUGCCUUUCAGACUGGGACAACUCAGGGAAACUUGAGCUAAUACCAGAUAAGACCACAUGAAGGGAUUCACGUGACCAAAGGGUGAGCAAUCUCCUGCUGGAAGAUGAGUCUAUGUCCUAUCAGUUAGUUGGUGGGGUAAAGGCCUACCAAGACGAAGACGGGUAGCCGGCCUGAGAGGGUGAACGGCCACACUGGAACUGAGACACGGUCCAGACUCCUACGGGAGGCAGCAGUGAGGAAUUUUCCGCAAUGGGCGAAAGCCUGACGGAGCGACGCCCGCGUGAGGGAUGAAGGUUUUCGGAUCGUAAACCUCUUUUAUCAAGGAAAAAGGCUUUAAUGCGAAUAACAUUAAAGUUUGAUUGUACUUAAUGAAUAAGCCCCGGCUAACUACGUGCCAGCCGCCGC
rnacentral:rRNA from 1 species